UUGAUUUUUUUCUUAAUUCUUGCGCAAAUACGAAGGUAGGGUUUUAAUCUUCCAUUAUUAGCAUUUGAUAAUCAGUUUAAGAUUUCCAAAGUUUUUGCACUUAGAGGGUUUGGAAUCGAUUUGCAUUCAGAUAACGUGUUGGGGCUUUUGGGUUGAUUCAUUCACGCUCAAUAAGUUUGCUUGUGAGGCCACAUCUAUACCCUUGGCUAGCAAUUUUUUCUGUUGAUCCUCUAUGGCUAGCAAUUCACUGCUUUACAUUCUUUUGUUUUUGAAAAAGACAAAAACUAUGGAUACAAAAAAUUGGGUACACUGAGUAGAGUCGUAAGGGAUAUGCACAGUUGAAACUGUAAUAAACUUGACUAACGCAAGAACGCAAAACAUAGAGCUAGAAAAUACCAAGAACCAGAAAAGAUGCUACAAUUUGUAGAGUUGUUCUUUGAUCUCGAUUUUUCUAUUUUUUUGUGAGGAAACACAAAUACAUACUGAUAACUAAACAAUUACAAAGGACAUAUAUCUUGGUGUUUUGCAAGGUUACAUUGAAAAAUUAGAUUUAUGCCGGUGACUGAGUUGUAUAGGAAGGACAGACUUUGUUCUUUUUUCCCUUGUUUAUCUAAUAAGCAGUUCAUUGAUUCCACAGUCUCCUCUUUAGUGUGGAUUUCAUGUUCUCGAAAGCAAAGUAUACAUGUGUUAUUUUACUUGGGUCAGACUGUUAAAUAUGGAAUAAUUUGUGAAAUCUUAUGUAGACACCAUUUUGGGACUCCUAUAUCUCUCUUGAUGGUCACAGUUGCAGGUUUGCUGAGGUACUUGAAACUUUUGGUUUAUUUACUUAUUUCUCUUCAAAAGGUAAUCAUGCUUAUGUGAUAAAUCACUUUGUUGCAUAAGAAUAUAGCUUUUUUCUGCCUUCGCUAUAAUAAGUUGGGGAAAUCAGUAACGUUUUUUACCCUUUCCAUAGUGUGUAAAAGAAGGAAAAAGAGCGCUGAAAUUUUUGGCACUCCCGCUCAAUUGAAAUUAUGUUCCCCCAAAUAUUUGUGAUUUUGUUUCAAGCUCCAACUUGUUUCAUCCAUGGGAUUGGUAGUUCCUCAAAAGAUUUUGCCGAAAUAGCUCUUGUCAUACACCGGUGGAAAGGUUUCAUCGGAAAGAGCUCGCUACUCUUGUCUUCUUUCUUUGAACUUUGAUCUGUUGAGUAUACUUGUUGGAGUUGUUUGGAAACUUGUAGAAUACAAGUCUGAAUCUUACUGUUUUGGCACAUUUUAGCCGAAAUGUUGAACUUUAAAAGGUGUUGUUCAACUGCUUGCAGCCUUGCACUGGUUUACAUAUGACUUGAAUUAUUGAGCUUUUUUCCGGUAUGGUUUGAUAUUUUUAGCCUUAGGAUCAUGGGCCCUUUGUCACCUUUUAAACUUUUUGUGUUUGAUUUUGAUACUACAAAUUGUUUAAAUGUGCAGCCCUAAUAUCUAAGCAGGAUUGCAUAGUCUCUUUCUAAUUUAACAGAAUGUGUAGGAAUCAGCCAGCACUAGCUUUUUGGUAUUUGUGACUUGUGUUAACAAUCAACAAUGUUACAGAAGAAUGGGCCUAAAGUACUGAGCAAAUUUAUUGGUGAAACCAAGAAGAAUAUUAGAGAUUAUUUGCUGAAGUUGAACAAGAUCAGAGAACACAAGGGAUCAAAGUGACUUACAUGUUAUCAUAUGUGAUGAAAUUGAUGCGAUUUGUAAGUCAAGAGGUUCAACUAGAGACGGUAUUGGAGUUCAUGGUAGCAUUGGUAACCAACUACUAAGAAAGUUUCAGGAAGUACUAGCUGCCUAUGUCACAGAUCAUACCUUUCCCAAAACGGAUGAAAUCUCACGGGUUCAAGAUUUCCGUCCCGGAGAAAAGGUUUUAGCUCUGUAUCUAGAUACAACUGCAUUAUAUGACGAUGGAUCUUUGCCUCAAAGGGUUGUACCAUUUCACAGGGUAGUUGGUCGUCCCGGUGGACAUAGUCGAUAGUUUUUCCUUCUCCUCCCAUAGAUGUGAAUAGGUAAAUAUAUGCAGUUCAUACGCAUUUCUAUCUUCGUAAACGUUGUAGGUACAUGGCUA